UUGUGUGUGUGACAUCAUCCCAGUGUUCCUCAAACCAAACUCCACCGAGCAGGAGGUCCCUUCUGCGCAUCAGCAGUCCGUGAAGUGUUUGUUGACUUGGGUGAGUUCCUGCAUUGGAGACUGAUUCCACUGAGAGAAGCUGGGUCCAACGCCUCUACAGCCCGCCUCUUCAAUUUACAGUGUUACCCUACUUCACCAAUUUCAUCCAUUCAUUGUGUCCCGCGGGGAGACACACCGACGACGGCAAGACGGAUGUUUUUCGGCUGAUUAGGGAGCGAAGGGUCUCUCACACCCACACGCAGCCAACGGGGGGGAAAAGGACAAAGAGAUUACAGCUGGGAACCAUGGUUGUGGCUCAAUGCGUUUCAAAAUAGACACAUUGCGGAGGCAGCUCCGCCUCGACUCGCUGAAAAGGCUUCACCACGACGACGUGUCACAGAUAACAGAUGAAUGCACGGGAACACAGGAGAACCACGGACUGGUUACACCAAUUAAACUCUGCCAGAAAGCCUUCUUAACGUUUCACUAGCUAUAGGCGUCCCAUCACCGAUCCCUCCUUUUUA